rnacentral:rRNA from 1 species
UCUAGAGGGAAAAAGGUAAUACUUCUCAGGGAAACCUUUAUUUAUUGGCGGCCUUAUUCCUUUUUAGAGGAACUCGUCUCAUAAUCGAUACUCCUCGUUAAUUUUUACUUUUUUCUUUCUCUUAUACCGCCGUCUUCAGACUAAAUUUCCUUCUUCAAAAAAAAAGAAUUUUAUUAAGUCAGGUAAAGGUGAGGAAAUAUAAAAAAGAGAAGAUAAGUUACCCAUAAAAAUUAUUCAUGGAUAUUCUUUUAACUACUAAUUGAAAAAGGAUUUAAUAGUAAUUUUUCAAUAAUAUUUUAUAAUGAAUAAGAAAAUUAGGUGC